rnacentral:misc_RNA from 1 species
UUAAGUUCAGCGGGUAGUCCUGCCUGAUUUGAGGCCAGAUUUGCUCAAAAAGAGAGUGUAUUUCAAGGUGCGCCUUCAAAGACGUGAAGAUCGUAGCUCAACGAGGGAGAAAUUACAACGCCGAGUUCAAGCCGAUCGACACGAGCGGUCGUCACUUGUCUGCAUUUCGGCCGAGCUGUCGCCUUUGCAGACAACGGCAU